AGGGUUUGAUCCUGGCUCAGAACGAACGUUGGCGGCGUGGAUGAGGCAUGCAAGUCGAACGCGAAAGCCCUCGGGCAAGUAGCGUGGCGGACGGGUGAGUAACACGUAAUCAAGCUACCUGGCAGACAGGGAUAACUUCGGGAAACCGGAGAUAAUACCUGAUGGUCUCACGGCAUCGCAUGGUGCUGUGUGUAAAUGGACGGGAUCCUUCGGGAUCGUCUGCUGCUAGAGGUGAUUGCGGCCCAUCAGCUUGUUGGUAGGGUAAUGGCCUACCAAGGCGACGACGGGUAGCCGGCCUAAGAGGGUGGUCGGUCACACUGGGACUGAGACACUGCCCAGACUCCUACGGGAGGCUGCAGUCGAGAAUCUUCCGCAAUGGACGAAAGUCUGACGGAGCGACGCCGCGUGGAGGACGAAGGCCUUCGGGUUGUAAACUCCUGUCACGAGUUAAGAAGUGUACGUCAUUAAUACCGGCGUGCAUUGACGAAGGCUCGAGAGGAAGCACUGGCUAACUCUGUGCCAGCAGCCGCGGUAAUACAGAGAGUGCGAACGUUGUUCGGAAUUACUGGGCUUAAAGCGUACGUAGGCGGCGUGACAAGUGUCGGGUGAAAGCCCACGGCUUACCCGUGGAACUGCCUGGCAAACUGUCAUGCUAGAGUGUGGUAGGGGAGAACAGAACUCAUGGUGGAGCGGUGAAAUGCGUAGAUAUCAUGAGGAAUACCGGUGGCGAAGGCGGUUCUCUGGUCCACAACUGACGCUGAGGUACGAAAGCUAGGGUAGCGAACGGGAUUAGAUACCCCGGUAGUCCUAGCCGUAAACGAUGGGUACUAGCUUGGGGGAUCCCUGUGUUCUUCCAGGUGAAGCAAAAGUGAUAAGUACCCCGCCUGGGGAGUAUGGUCGCAAGGCUGAAACUCAAAGGAAUUGACGGGGGC
rnacentral:rRNA from 1 species